GCCGCGUUCGUCUCGGGGUUUAGGACGCCGCCCUUUCACGGCGGUAGCACGGGUUCGAAUCCCGUACGCGGUA
rnacentral:tRNA from 1 species